rnacentral:rRNA from 1 species
GUCGAGCGCGGGAAGCAGGCAGAUCCUCUUCGGAGGUGACGCUUGUGGAACGAGCGGCGGACGGGUGAGUAACACGUGGGCAACCUGCCUGUAAGAUUGGGAUAACCCCGGGAAACCGGGGCUAAUACCGGAUAAUACUUUUCGUUGCAUAACGAGAAGUUGAAAGGCGGCUUUUAGCUGUCACUUACAGAUGGGCCCGCGGCGCAUUAGCUAGUUGGUAAGGUAACGGCUUACCAAGGCGACGAUGCGUAGCCGACCUGAGAGGGUGAUCGGCCACACUGGGACUGAGACACGGCCCAGACUCCUACGGGAGGCAGCAGUAGGGAAUCUUCCGCAAUGGACGAAAGUCUGACGGAGCAACGCCGCGUGAGUGAUGAAGGUUUUCGGAUCGUAAAACUCUGUUGUCAGGGAAGAACAAGUGCCGUUCAAAUAGGGCGGCACCUUGACGGUACCUGACCAGAAAGCCCCGGCUAACUACGUGCCAGCAGCCGCGGUAAUACGUAGGGGGCAAGCGUUGUCCGGAAUUAUUGGGCGUAAAGCGCGCGCAGGCGGUCCUUUAAGUCUGAUGUGAAAGCCCACGGCUUAACCGUGGAGGGCCAUUGGAAACUGGAGGACUUGAGUACAGAAGAGGAGAGUGGAAUUCCACGUGUAGCGGUGAAAUGCGUAGAGAUGUGGAGGAACACCAGUGGCGAAGGCGACUCUCUGGUCUGUAACUGACGCUGAGGUGCGAAAGCGUGGGGAGCGAACAGGAUUAGAUACCCUGGUAGUCCACGCCGUAAACGAUGAGUGCUAGGUGUUAGGGGGUUUCCGCCCCUUAGUGCUGAAGUUAACGCAUUAAGCACUCCGCCUGGGGAGUACGGCCGCAAGGCUGAAACUCAAAANAAUUGACGGGG